UAUUUAGAUUUAAAAUGGAAAAAGAUUGUUUAAUUUAGAGGUAAUUAUCAAUUUCUAGAAAAGUGCUUUAUGGAGAAAGUUUGGAAUUUUAGUAUCUUUGUUUCAACACGAGUAAAUAUUGUAUAGUUCUCAGAAAGUAAUUAGGAUGAUCGGAAUAAUUUUGAGGGUGACUGUUUUGUUUGUUCGAAUGGAAAAGUCGAUGUUUCUGAUUAUUGGCAAUGUGGAAGGGGAAAAGUAGUUAGAAUGAUUGAGAGAGGUUGAAAAGGAAGGCAUUAUGUUUUUGGCACCGCUAAGGAGCGGUUCGACGUGUUAAGUUGUUACAGUCAAAAUUACUGAUUAACUUUUAAUCAUCUCAGGUACACGAUUUAAGUAUUUAUAAGCUAGAACAUUCGUUGUAAUAAAAACAAUUUCAUCAAUUUGAUUAAAUAUAAAUAGCGUAAAUUCAUUAAUUCGAUUUGUAGGUAUGUAUUUUAUGUUUUGUUAUUGUCAUUGAAAUUGAUCAUUUACUCUAUAGCUGACGUUUGUUUGAUUCUAGUUGAAUACAUAGCGUUGACAAUUCUUCCUUUUCGGAUUCAAUAUGGUACAGCUUCGGGUUAUCGUAUUUUUGUUCGUUUUAUGUUUUGACAGACUUUUAAAUCUGUCAAAUCAAAGUUCUAUUUUUAAAAGAAGAAUGUGACGUAGUUGGUCACUUAGCAGCUUGUAAAAUCGAAAUUGUUGAUUUGAACGUCACCGCCGAAAUUUUUAAACGUCUGAUUUUUUUGAAAAUAAGGAUUUAUUUGAUCCAUCCAUUAAUUUGGGAUCUAUAAAUCAGACUUUUCCAUAAACUAGUAAUUAUUGGAGUUAGUAAAAUUGAUUUUAAGGAUAUAUUACUAGUUUAGUCCAAUUUUUGGGAUAAAAUACGGCUGUGGUGUCAUUUCUUCGAUUUGAUACGAAUGAAUGUUUGGUUUGAGGCCAGAAAACGGGUUUCUGUAUCGAAGUUGUACUGAAGACACGUGAUCCUCUGAAAGCUGGAAGACCCCAUCGAUUUUGG
rnacentral:lncRNA from 1 species